CAGAAACUUAGGCCUUGGAGCUACUCUGGACUUAUGAGAUCCUACCUGGCACAAAUGAAAAUAAAAUCUAGAGGCUGGGAACCUAUCUCUGCGGCUAGAAGGCUUGCCUGCCACCAACAGCUCUGGCUUUGAUUCCCCAACACCACAUGGCAGCAGCAGGAGGAUAUGAAAUUCAAGGCCAUCCUCAGCUACACAGCGUGUUGGAGGCUAGCCUGAGCUAUAUGAGAUCACUGGCCUGAGGCAGUGGGCAUGAGAAUGGCAAAUGUCAUGAUUGUGUUGUGACCACAAGAAUAUCACUGAGGUCCACAUGGCUCUUACCACAAAGCUUCAAGGUGCUCAGCAGGAACCUAUAAAUAAGCAAGAGAAAGCCUACUUUACAACUGUUUUCAAGGUGGAGCCUGGAUUCUCAAGCUGCCCAACAAAACAUCCAGGACUGAACUUCCAUUAUAGUCUAACGCGGUCCAGUCUCCAAAGCUUUUGUAAAAGAAAGAGACAAGAACAUACAUAGAACAGAAGGAAUAUGAAAAGGCCAAAGCCACCUCCAGAUGCACCUUCGCUUUUGUCUUGAGCUCCAUCGCUGGAGGGUCCAUCAUCUUUUUCUGCUUAUUCUCCCGACUCUUCUUUAUGUGACCUCUGUCAAGGCCCAUGACUGGCCGAUCAGAUAUAUACAACAACGCACCCAAGCCUGUCUGCAGCUUUGGAUUCCCUGGAUACAUUCUCUUUAAUGUGUGAAGUGCCGAGCUGAUUGAGAUCAGAAAUAAAAUUUGUCACAAC
rnacentral:lncRNA from 1 species